GCCAGCUGCACCCCAACUUCUUUGUCUUCUUUUUACAAACUUGACUGUGACCACGUUGCUGCUCUAGUCAAAGCUCAUCUCUGGGGAAGCCUGAGGGUGCCUCCAUUGUCCCCGGACCCAGCCUCCCCAUGGUGCUCUGGGCUGGCUCUUUGCACCCUCACCAUGUCCAUGUCCUGCCCUUGGCCGCAUUCUGUUCAUUUGGAUCCUUCCGUCUGAAUCACCUUUCCUGUCUAUCUCUACUCAGUUCAUCCUGCUUAUCUUUCAAACUCUUAGGUAAUGUUCAUCUCCUGUACCCCUAGGCCUUCAGGAUGCUCCCUAGGCCACCUGCGUGUGGUGUCUCCACUCCACAGCCCAGGAUGCAACCCACAUCUGUGGAGGUCAGGGGGAGACACAGCUCCAGGAGAAGUCUGAGGUCCCAGGGACUGGCAAAGCCACAGGAUGAAAGGAACUUGAGGCUCUCCUUCACUACCUGCAGGAAAAGCACCUGUCGCAACAAGGAGCCCUUGCACUGAAUGGUUGCAUAAGUAACUACCCACCUUCUAUUGCAUGCCUGGCACAUGCUAACCAAGCUUUACCUCUGAGGAGCUCACAGACCAACAUUCCUCUGGAGGAGGGAGCAGGUUUUGAUGAAACACACCCACCAAGAAAAAUGCUGUGACAGGUUGUGAGGUUGGAAGUUGAAACAGAAGCAUCAAGUUCUAAUAGAUCCUGCCCUGUUAAGUGAAGUCCCCGGAACAAGAUGCCGUUUCAAGGGAAACGGAUCUGGGCUUUUAAAACUCUCUACUCACGAUGAGAAUAUAAAAAGAUGGGUCCGGGAGAACAAAGGGAGAGAUUUUGGGGGAUGAUUCCUUGGGAAGAAGUGUACCCAGCCCUUUUGCUAGCAUGUUGGGGGGGCAUGAAGAGAUCCCUCCUCCACCUCAUCCAAGUUGCUGUA